AUUUAUAGAUGGAGAGCAUAACUGAUUAAUAGUGACGUCUGUAACCGUCUGGUCAUGGGCUGUUCAGAGCCGUCUGAAGUUUGUUACGGAAAGUGGUGGCGUCAGGGGUUGUUCAGGGCCAUGUGGAGUUGGUUACAGAGAGUGGAGUGGUGGCCGUUGUCGCAACUUGCCAGAGAGUAGUGGAGCCACAUGAAAUCCGUUGCAGA
rnacentral:lncRNA from 1 species